UACGAAGGGGACUAGCGUUGUUCGGAUUUACUGGGCGUAAAGCGCGCGUAGGCGGAUCGCUAAGUCAGGGGUGAAAUCCCAGGGCUCAACCCUGGAACUGCCUUUGAUACUGAAGAUCUUGAGUUCGGGAGAGGUGAGUGGAACUGCGAGUGUAGAGGUGAAAUUCGUAGAUAUUCGCAAGAACACCAGUGGCGAAGGCGGCUCACUGGCCCGAUACUGACGCUGAGGCACGAAAGCGUGGGGAGCAAACAGG
rnacentral:rRNA from 1 species